rnacentral:rRNA from 1 species
AUUGAACGCUGGCGGCAGGCCUAACACAUGCAAGUCGAACGAGUGGCGGACGGGUGAGUAAUGUCUGGGAAACUGCCCGAUGGAGGGGGAUAACUACUGGAAACGGUAGCUAAUACCGCAUACCAUCGGAUGUGCCCAGAUGGGAUUAGCUAGUAGGUGGGGUAAAGGCUCACCUAGGCGACGAUCCCUAGCUGGUCUGAGCGGAUGACCAGCCACACUGGAACUGAGACACGGUCCAGACUCCUACGGGGGGCAGCAGUGGGGAAUAUUGCACAAUGGGCGCAAGCCUGAUGCAGCCAUGCCGCGUGUAUGAAGAAGGCCUUCGGGUUUUAAAGUACUUUCAGCGGGGAGGCGUUACCCGCAGAAGAAGCACCGGCUAACUCCGUGCCAGCAGCCGCGGUAAUAC